rnacentral:ncRNA from 1 species
UUGCACCCUUCUUAGAGGGACAAGCGGCUCCUAGCCGAACGAAUACAGAGCAAUAACAGGUCUGUGAUGCCCUUAGAUGUCCGGUGCCGCACGCGCGCUACACUGAAGGAAGCAGCGUGUUUUUAUCCCUUGUUAAGUAAAAGAUCGGGGGGUAUUGCUCCCAAUGAGAAGCUUGGUGGAUCUUGUUUGUUACAAAAUGUUCGCCUAAUCGUGAGUUCAAAUUAUUAUUCACGA